AGACUCCUCUGGCUGCCUGCGGCCUGCAGAACAGGAGCUAUGAGACAAUGACACAGGAGAGCGCCAAGAAGAGCAUAGUAGUUCAAUGGGUUUUUUUUUUCUUGAUCGGAUAGAUCGCUUUCUGUCUUGUUGUGCUCCAUUGGAGCUGUAUUUUUCUCAGAUUGUAGGUGAUUUUUCCAUUUCGUGAUCUUCUGCUCAAUUUUCCCUCUUCUUUUUUCAUGUGUGUAGCUCUCAUGGUCCAAGACUCUCUUGAAGAAGUGGUUCAGCAUCCGGCUCAAGGCAUGAGAUUUCCAUGCUGAUUCUGACGCUGGACAGGGAAGGGAUAGAGGUGGUGGAUCAUGGAGGCCCAGCUACUCCGUGGGCGAAGCAAGUGCAAACAUGGCCAAGAAAAGCAGAGUUGGUAUGUGGUGCAAUGAACCAUCUGGACCACACCCUUCUCUCUGUUCCCGGCACACCAGAGAUACAUCUUUCGUUCCCCAUCACAGCUGACUGGUCAUCAUCCAAGCAGAGUGCCGAGCACGCUCACCAAUGCAAGAAUAAUUUCGAAAUAGCACGCCCGACUGAAGUCCAAUAUUACAGGUUGUUCAGAAGAGGAGGGUAGAGGAGAUUGGAGUGUUGUUCAACUUCAGCUGCUACUUGGGUGCUAUGGAAUGACAACGAACUGAACGAGCUGUUCAGAAGAGGAGGGUAGAGGACUUUCGAGUGACAAUGAACUGAACCAGUUAAGUAUUUUCUUUCUUUCUCAUUUUGAUGUGCAAUUAAAAAAAGCUACAGACCAUGCAUUCCUGAUGUGCACUACCUUCUAGGAUAAUUAUUCCUUUCCCCAUUAGGCCACGAACAACUGUAGGCUCUCUUAAUUAUCACAUUAUAAAAACAUAUAUGCAUGUCCAUGCUAAACUAUCACCCUUGACAAUCGGUUUUAGGGUAUUCAAAACAACGAACUGCAUAAUAUAUGGCGUGAUGUGUGUUGCCAUUGAUAGAUAUUGAUCCACAUGAUUCUUUAACUAUUCAAGACCCAGGUAAAUUAAAUUGCCUCCAGAAUUGAUACUCACUGUUUAUCGAAUCUUAUCAAAAAGCUAAUUAACCAUAGUUAUUAACAAUAGCGAAAAACAUAGCCCUUUGGAGAUCUAACUAUGGUUGCGCAUGCUUUCGAGCAGAAUACAAGUGUGAAACUAAGUCCAGAGUAUUUUAUAAUCAAUCAAUAUUUAAGUCUAAUUGGUCUACGGUGUCAACUAUAUACUGAUAAUUUCUUCCCUUUUCACUAAUUCCAGCGAAAAAAGGAGCUUCAACCUUCACUAAAUCCUCCUUCAAAUAAUUGUACUGAUCAUUUUGAGUACAACUUCGGUGAACUAGAGAUGACUAUUACACUAUAGAUACACAUAGAUUGAAUGACUCAUCAUAUAUUUUUUCCUUGCAGUAACCCAGUUCAUAUAUAAUCUAUUCCGCCUAUUCAAGCUAAAUUUAUAGAUUUGUUAAUCUGCAUGUUCUAAUCAUGAACCCAGACAAUGGAAGUACAAAUGCUAGGUAACUACUGGAACACAAUGGAUAUGUUCUGAAAUGUGAAUAAUUAAUAGAUUAAAUAUGUCUACAUUCAUAUAGUUUCAGUCUUACACUGCUAUGUUUUUCCUAGCCACAGCUUUGAGGUCAUCUAUCAACUAUUGACAAUAUUUCCACAUAGAACAACAAACAUUCGAGACGCAAUUCACUGCUCAAAUAUGUAAUAAGAUAUCUUUUUUCAAUGUAUCAACAAACUUUUACUGUUCUAAAUAUUAUAUGCCAUGUACGUCAGCAACCCUUAAUUAUAUCGAUCAGCAAACCUAAAACUACGAAGUUAUCAAUAAUUCACCUUUUUCCCUCACUGCCAACCAUUAACCAAUAAAUUAUGUACAUGCACCUGCUUCGUAAGUGUAUGUGCUCCUAACUUAAAUUUGAUGGAGGGGAGAACAAAAUGAUGCUAA